rnacentral:sRNA from 1 species
AAAAACGUAAUUAAGAGAUUUUAAGAUAGUUUUUCAAUUACUAAACAAGUUCUAGAACUUGGUCUAGCUCGGAAGACGAAAUAACAACCAUCCUA